GCCGGGCGUGGUGGCGGAUGCCUGUAAUCCCAGCUACUCAGGAGGCUGAGGCAGGAAAAUUGCUUGAACCCAGGAGGUGGAGGUUGCAGUGAGCCAAGAUCAUGCCACUGCAGUCCAGCCUGGGUGACAGAGCAAGAUUCCGUCUCAU
rnacentral:SRP_RNA from 1 species